rnacentral:sRNA from 1 species
AAUGAUGACGUCAAUAAAUGUGCCCAAGACGAGAAGUAUGACACCAUUGGAGAUGACGUCAAUAAAAUAGAUUCACGAACUCGAUGGUCUACUCCAGUAGUAAGGGAAGCAACGAUUGUUAAGACAAUGAGAGUUAAAUCUGACGGACUCGUCUCCUCUAAUUUUGAUGCACUGACCAGGGACAUUGAGUACGUAACUCCGGUGCAUGUGGAGUAUAAAAUCAAUUUUACUCUGCCAGAGAAGAGUGGUACUAAUCAAGUCUUAGUAACAAAGAAACAAGAAGGAAAUGUGUAUGAUAACCUCAACAAGACAGACAAGACAACA